rnacentral:rRNA from 1 species
CCGGCGACCGGCGGACGGGUGCGUAACGCGUACGUAACCUACCUUUGACAGGGGGAUAACAUCGAGAAAUUGGUACUAAUACCCCAUAACAUCACCGGAGGCAUCUUCGGUGGUUGAAAACUCAGGUGGUCAGAGAUGGACAUGCGUUGUAUUAGCUAGUUGGUGAGGUAACGGCUCACCAAGGCGACGAUACAUAGGGGGACUGAGAGGUCAACCCCCCACAUUGGUACUGAGACACGGACCAAACUCCUACGGGAGGCAGCAG